rnacentral:tRNA from 1 species
GAUGUAGCUUAGUGGUAGAGUACAUGCCUAGCAUGUGUGAGGUUCUGAGUUCAGUCUCAGCAUC